rnacentral:rRNA from 1 species
UACGUAGGGUGCGAGCGUUGUCCGGAAUUACUGGGCGUAAAGAGCUCGUAGGCGGUUUGUCGCGUCUGCCGUGAAAGUCCGGGGCUCAACUCCGGAUCUGCGGUGGGUACGGGCAGACUAGAGUGAUGUAGGGGAGACUGGAAUUCCUGGUGUAGCGGUGAAAUGCGCAGAUAUCAGGAGGAACACCGAUGGCGAAGGCAGGUCUCUGGGCAUUAACUGACGCUGAGGCGCGAAAGCGUGGGGAGCGAACAGG